rnacentral:rRNA from 1 species
UACGGAGGGUGCGAGCGUUGUCCGGAAUCACUGGGCGUAAAGGGCGCGUAGGCGGCCUGAUAAGUAGGGGGUGAAAUCCUGCGGCUUAACCGCAGGGCUGCCUUCUAAACUGUCAGGCUCGAGCACAGUAGAGGCAGGUGGAAUUCCCGGUGUAGCGGUGGAAUGCGUAGAGAUCGGGAAGAACAUCAGUGGCGAAGGCGGCUAACUGGUCCAGAUCUGACGCUGAGGUGCGAAAGCGUGGGGAGCAAACAGG